AGCAUUAGUUUCCCUUUCCUGUUCUGGCAACUCAAGUUAUAAUUAAUUUUGUUUGAAAUGCACAAAAAAAAUGAAAAUGAAGGGUAGCUAACUCCGUAAUUUUCUAUAAUCAUUCUAAUCAAAAGUUAUCUCCGGAAUUACCAGACAGAGUCACGUACAAUAGAAAGAACUACCAUUUCUAACUGAGCGGAAAAAAUACCAUGAUCAUGUGUAUUGCGCUUUCAUGUUGAUCCGGACCCAAGUCAAUACGACCCAAGUCGAUCCGGUCCCACGUUAAUCCAGCCCCACGUCGACCAGGCCCCAUAUUUACAGUCGAUAUGGUCCAAAUAAAAAAUUAUAUUCCGGAUGGAUCGACUUUGGGCCGGAUCGAAUUGGGCCAGAUCGGUUUGGGGCUUGAACGACCGGAUACCUGUACUGUUAUAAAUCAGUAUUGCGUAGAACAAAGAUGAAAUUGUGCAUUCAUUAGAAAGAAAAACAAAAUAUAAAAACUGAAACAAACUUAAACAUUCUUUCCGAUAUACAAUUAUUUAUCAAAAUGUUCCCGUUCUUGUUAAGUCAUUAGAACAAAG
rnacentral:lncRNA from 1 species